CCCUUAAAUGUUCUGGGCCGCACGCGCGCUACACUGAUGCAUUCAACGAGCCUAUCCUUGACCGACAGGUCCGGGUAAUCUUUGAAUCUGCAUCGUGACGGGGAUAGAUUAUUGCAAUUAUUAAUCUUCAACGAGGAAUGCCUAGUAGGCGCAAGUCAUCAGCUUGCGUCGAUUACGUCCCUGCCCUUUGUACACACCGCCCGUCGCUCCUACCGAUUGGGUGUGCUGGUGAAAUGUUCGGAUCGGCCGUUUGUCGCGGUUUCCGCGGCUCGUGGCUGAGAAGUUCAUUAAACCCUCCCACCUAGAGGAAGGAGAAGUCGUAACA
rnacentral:rRNA from 1 species